AUUGUCCUCUCCAGAGGACACAGUAUCAGGUGCCAUCUAAGAAGCAGAGUGUAAGUCCUCACCAGAUACUCAUCCGCAAGUGUCUUGGUUCUGGACUGCUUAGGUUUCUGAACUGCACAAAGUUCUGUUUUGCUUACAGGUACAAAAUUGUCUAUUCCAUACACUCCUUUAGAGGUUCUAAAGGAAAUUUUGGUUGUCGGGAUGACUCAACAGUUGUCUUCUGUUGUAACCCAUGAGUGAAUCGAUGAGGCCGAACACUGUCUUCGUAGAACGUACGGCAGGGCUGCAAGAAACAGUUCUCUGGGUCCAUGAGGAAAUGAAGUCCAUUGAUGACCAGGCUCCAGACACAUCUCUGAAGUGGAAAUUUCUGGACUCAGUCUUCUCAUGUGAUGUUUUGCUGUAAGCUGGGCACAUGAUAUUCUGCCCAGGUUGGCUUGUGAGAGAGCAUACGAUGUUUUCCUGUGACCCUUCAUGUGUGAGGGGCUUGACUUGGCCAGCUGAGAAUACCUGUGGGUGGACUUUGAGGAGAGGACAUAUAUAGAUGCCCAUGAAGAGUGAGACAUUGCUUUUUGGAUCUACAUUGCUGCACUGAUCUUUGUGCUUUGACACUUGGCUUCGCAGAGAGAAACGUUCCAGAGAUCUUUUCCAGGCAAUCCAACUGAGUCUUUCAGCUUUCACUGCUUCAUGUUGUCCUUUGGACUGGACUGCUGGUAUCCUGACGACUGAGUCUGGAAAUCCCCUAAUGACCCAUCAACCCUGAUCAGCAGGAAGUAAAUAAAAGAGGACUACAGCCCCUUUCCCUACUAAUCACCUACCUAAGGUUGUGGGAGAUUGGAAGGGAUGUAAAAGUGCUUAAGAACCCUAAAUAAAGUAGGUUUGGUGAAAAA